CGAUAUUAAAACGAAAUAAAGAGAAAAUGAUAUAAGUUAUUUCAAAGGUGGUUUCGCUUUAAAAUCCGAAUAUUAUUUGCAUAUCGCCCUUUCUUCAAUUGAACAAAGUAGUCCAGAUGCGAUAGUCCAAGAAACUGAAAUCGCAUACCUAAGGACCAUCUCCAACUGUGUCUGAGUCCUGGCCUUAGGUGCGGGUGUAUCGCCUUGGACCCGGUAUUGAUUUCAUGUUGACGCUGCAAUAUUUCUCUUAAUGAAAACAAACAAUGAGACGCUGAUGCGGAGGCCACGGGCCAGAAUGCAGGCAGCUGGCUCGCAGGCAGGAGGCUGCUCCCGACUAUUGGCCACACAGGGCGAGCAGGGGCCAGUUGAGCGGUGCCCAGUUGCCGAGUUGCCCAGUUGGCCACUUGGCAACUCGGCCUGGCCGAGAUGUGUGCUGCCAGAUAAUUGUGGCGGGCAGGUCGUGCCAAAUUCCACACGACGGAAGACAAGACCAUCGAGAUGGAGCUGGAGUCGGGGCCAAUUUAAAACCAAUUUAAAGUUUAAUGAAUUCAUAAAGAAAUCAGUGACUGCACUUUCAAAACAUAAUCUGCCGACAUUCCGCCUUCUCCUCAUGGCGUGCCAAAUCUCAUAAUCAGUCAAUAAC